CUUGGCAACACUGAAUAUGCGAGUUGGGGAGUGCUCACUGACACCUUGACGCGCACUGAGUGUUGUCUUCUUUGAAAAGCAGUUUUUUUCUUCUUGCCGAGUUAUGCCGUCACUCGCCUACUCUCCAUGAUGUGACUUUUCAGCUUCUCAGUUCAAGCACUGAGCAUCCACUCCUUCAUCCCUGAACCAGGAACAUCAACAAAAAUGGUCGACUGGGUACCAGUAGCGUCCCAGUUCAAGUCUCUCGUGCAGGCGGCCUUCGGCGACCGGAAGGGUGCCAAAGAGACCCAGGAGAGGUUCAUAAGGCAAUGCCCCGUGGUUUCCCAGGUCACCUCCGCAGUCCAGGCCUCGAAAGGAGACAAAGCCGCCGCCCGGAGGACCCAGUUAGAAUUCCUGCGAGUUGUGGGCGGCCUCGUGGAUAGCGUGCCGUUGGUAGGCCAUCUGAAGGGCGGCAUCCACUACGCCUGCGGGGACAAGAACAGGGGAGACGUUGCCUUGAAGGCGUCGUCUCACACGUCCGCAGCCAUAGCCGGCGGCAUUGGCGGGUUUUUUCGUCGGUGGGCCCUUGGGCGCCACACUGGGCGGCAUGGCCGCCGGCUCUGCCAUGGACAGCAUCAUUACUCUGUCGGAGUUCGGCGUCUCUCGCAGGUUCAAGCCGGAGGGCAUUCUGAAGCCCUGAGUGACCCCAAGAACGCCGGGAAAUGGGUGGAUGCGGUGGCAGGCGUGAUCGUGGAUGGGAUCCUCGGGAAGGGCGCAGGGGCCUUGGUUGCCAAGUCGAACAUUCAGCCCUCGGCGCUCCAUUUGACGGUGGACGAAGAGAAGAAGAAGAUCAUAAAGAGCUUGGUCCAGCUGGCUGCGGAGACGUUGGCAGUGUCAGCCUGCACGACGAUCGCUUCCAAAGCGGGAGUGGAAUUUGGCGAAAGGAUUAUCUGUGGGCUCGAGGAGGGGGAUUCUAAACCUUACAACGAGACGGAAAAAUUACCGCAAAUUAUGUAUCACUAAUGUGCGACACAUUAAAAGUGAGUUCAGAUUUA